GGCGAACGGGUGCGUAAUGCAUGGGAAUCUGCCUAGUAGUGGGGAAUAACCCGGCGAAAGCCGGGCUAAUGCCGCAUACGACCUACGGGUGAAAGCGGGGGAUCGCAAGACCUCGCGCUAUUAGAUGAGCCCAUGUCGGAUUAGCUAGUUGGUAGGGUAACGGCCUACCAAGGCGACGAUCCGUAGCUGGUCUGAGAGGACGGCCAGCCACACUGGGACUGAGACACGGCCCAGACUCCUACGGGAGGCAGCAGU
rnacentral:rRNA from 1 species